rnacentral:rRNA from 1 species
GACGAACGCUGGCGGCGUGCUUAACACAUGCAAGUCGAACGGAAAGGCCCUGCUUUUGUGGGGUGCUCGAGUGGCGAACGGGUGAGUAACACGUGAGUAACCUGCCCUUGACUUUGGGAUAACUUCAGGAAAAUGGGGCUAAUAUCGGAUAGGAGAUCCUGCUGCAUGGUGGGGGUUGGAAAGUUUCGGCGGUUGGGGAUGGACUCGCGGCGUAGUAGCUUGUUGGUGGGGUAGUGGCUUACCAGGGCUUUGACGGGUAGACGGCGUGAGAGGGUGACCGGCCACACGAGAACUGAGACACGGUCCAGAGUCCUAGGGGAGGCAGCAGAAGGGAAUGUGACGCAACGGGCGGAAGCCUGACGGAGCAACCGCGCGUGAGUGAUGGAGGUCUUCGGAUCGUAAAACUCUGUUAUUAGGGAAGAACAAAUGUGUAAGUAAAUAUGCACGGCUUGACGGUAACUAAUCAGAAAGCAACGGCUAACUACGUG